AUUGAACGCUGGCGGCAUGCCUUACACAUGCAAGUCGAACGGUAACAGGUCUUCGGAUGCUGACGAGUGGCGAACGGGUGAGUAAUACAUCGGAACGUGCCUAGUAGUGGGGGAUAACUACUCGAAAGAGUGGCUAAUACCGCAUGAGAUCUACGGAUGAAAGCAGGGGAUCGCAAGACCUUGUGCUUCUAGCGCGGCCGAUGGCAGAUUAGGUAGUUGGUGGGAUAAAAGCUUACCAAGCCGACGACCUGUAGCUGGUCUGAGAGGACGAUCAGCCACACUGGGACUGAGACACGGCCCAGACUCCUACGGGAGGCAGCAGUGGGGAAUUUUGGACAAUGGGCGAAAGCCUGAUCCAGCAAUGCCGCGUGCAGGAUGAAGGCCUUCGGGUUGUAAACUGCUUUUGUACGGAACGAAAAGCCCCGGGUUAAUACCCUGGGGUCAUGACGGUACCGUAAGAAUAAGCACCGGCUAACUACGUGCCAGCCGCCGCCGUAA
rnacentral:rRNA from 1 species